UAGACAACGCCAUCUCUCCUCCCUCUCUCCCUCUCUCCCUCUACGCAAAGCCAAAUAUUUAUAAGAAAAUCAUUAAACAUAAAAAAAUUCAAAAUCCAGUAUUGGGCCGGGUUGGGCCGCGUAAACGGGUAUCCAAAUUAGAGGGUCGUUGAACUGAGUCUGACUCACUGAGUUUUGUGAUCGAGUCAAACAAAGGUGAGCUUGGGAAAUAAUGGCGUAGCUCUACUAGCUCAAGUUUGAGCUCUCCCAUAAUGAGUACAUCAAGCUUGUCCUCCAUCUCCUGCCUCCUCUGGAGAUCUCUCU